ACGUACGGAACGGAGCUAAUACCGGAUAAUAUAUUGAACCGCAUGGUUCAAUAGUGAAAGACGGUUUUGCUGUCACUUAUAGAUGGAUCCGCGCCGCAUUAGCUAGUUGGUAAGGUAACGGCUUACCAAGGCAACGAUGCGUAGCCGACCUGAGAGGGUGAUCGGCCACACUGGAACUGAGACACGGUCCAG
rnacentral:rRNA from 1 species